rfam:Patagioenas fasciata monilis isolate BTP2013 Sc31e1R_515, whole genome shotgun sequence.
CCGCAGGCGUCCAGCGUGGGGGGGCCUGGCGUGGCCCCCGCCAUUCCUGCAGCGCCUGCCAGAGCAGCCCCGGGACGGUUUGAGGCCCCUCCUUGCCAUUUCGAGGGGGGGUUAUAGAAACCCCGGACACCC